rnacentral:piRNA from 1 species
UGACUGUGUGCAGAGCCGUUCCUUCAACCUU